rnacentral:sRNA from 1 species
GACCUCAACUUGACAUGGGGGAAUUGUCAGCAAAAUCAAAAAUUCAAUUAUUACAUCAUAGUGGUCAUUGAUCGAUUACUCUCAGAUCGAAUAGGUUUGUAUAAAACUACUUAAUAACAUAGAUAUUCACCCUCUCAACAUCUAUUGAAAAUCAACAAAUAUUUACAAUUCAUUAAGAUAACGACCUCUUUCUCAAAAAAAUAUUUUGAAAUUAAAAUCCAACCAAACUCAAAAUGAAGACCUUCUACACCUUGGCUGCUCUCAUCAUGGCCUCUAUGAUCUCUGCUACCCCCGUUGCCCAGCCGGUAGACAAUAUCGCCGCCAAGGAUGCUGUUGCUCCUGCCCGAUACUAUUUCUACGCUGUUCCACCAGCUGAAGCUGAGGGGUCUGAUUAAACGAAAACUCCGGCAUUUUCCAAUUGAAAUACAACGGUAGACUAGAAGGGAGGAAACAGAGUAUACUCUAGCUGGGUAGUUGGGGUGCGAUGGUGGGCUUGGCUGCGGGGAUACGUAUCUGUCAUAGCUUCUAUCUACAGCUGUAUUAGUUUAGCGACUAUAUGUCGGGAAUGAAUUGAAGAAGAACUAUUGAAGUA